rnacentral:rRNA from 1 species
GAUAAACGCUGGCGGCGCACAUAAGACAUGCAAGUCGAACGAACUUAAUACCUUGCUUGCAAGGUAAGCGGUUAGUGGCGGACUGGUGAGUAACACGUAAGAAAUCUGCCUAUCAGAGGGGAAUAACAGUGAGAAAUCACUGCUAAUACCGCAUAUGCCAUAGGAAUCGCAUGAUUCUAGUGGGAAAGGAGCAAUCCGCUGAUAGAUGAGCUUGCGUCUGAUUAGCUAGUUGGUGGGGUAAAGGCCUACCAAGGCGACGAUCAGUAGCCGGACUGAGAGGUUGAACGGCCACAUUGGGACUGAGAUACGGCCCAGACUCCUACGGGAGGCAGCAGUCGGGAAUAUUGCGCAAUGGAGGAAACUCUGACGCAGUGACGCCGCGUAUAGGAAGAAGGUUUUCGGAUUGUAAACUAUUGUCCACAGGGAAGAUAAAAGACUGUACCUGUGAAGAAAGCUCCGGCUAACUACGUGCCAGCAGCCGCGGUAAUACGUAGGGAGCAAGCGUUAUCCGGAAUUAUUGGGUGUAAAGGGUGCGUAGACGGGAUAACAAGUUAGUUGUGAAACCCCCCGGCUCAACUGAGGAACUGCAACUAAAACUAUUAUUCUUGAGUGCAGGAGAGGAAAGUGGAAUUCCUAGUGUAGCGGUGAAAUGCGUAGAUAUUAGGAAGAACACCGGUGGCGAAGGCGACUUUCUGGACUGUAACUGACGUUGAGGCACGAAAGUGUGGGGGAGCAAACAGGAUUAGAUACCCUGGUAGUCCACACUGUAAACGAUGGAUACUAGGUGUAGGAGAUAUUAAAGCUUCUGUGCCGUCGCUAACGCAGUAAGUAUCCCACCUGGGGAGUACGACCGCAAGGUUGAAACUCAAAGGAAUUGACGGGGGCCCGCACAAGCAGUGGAGUAUGUGGUUUAAUUCGAAGCAACGCGAAGAACCUUACCAGGGCUUGACAUACAAGUGAAUGUCUAAGAGAUUAGGCAGUAUUUCGGUACACUUGUACAGGUGGUGCAUGGUUGUCGUCAGCUCGUGUCGUGAGAUGUUAGGUUAAGUCCUGCAACGAGCGCAACCCCUAUACUUAGUUGCCAGCACGUAAAGGUGGGAACUCUAAGUAGACUGCCGGUGAUAAAUCGGAGGAAGGUGGGGACGACGUCAAAUCAUCAUGCCCUUUAUGUCCUGGGCUACACACGUACUACAAUGGCUAUAACAAAGAGAAGCGAGACGGAGACGUUAAGCGAAACCCAAAAAAGUAGUCUCAGUUCGGAUUGAAGGCUGAAAUUCGCCUUCAUGAAGCCGGAAUUGCUAGUAAUGGCAGGUCAGCAUACUGCCGUGAAUACGUUCCCGGGCCUUGUACACACCGCCCGUCACACCAUGAGAGUUGGGAAUACCCGAAGCCUGUGAGCUAACGUAAGAGGCAGCAGUCGAAGGUAGAAUCAAUGAUUGGGGUG